UGGCUCAGGAUGAACGCUGGCGGCGUGCUUAACACAUGCAAGUCGAACGAUGAAGCCCAGCUUGCUGGGUGGAUUAGUGGCGAACGGGUGAGUAACACGUGAGUAACCUGCCCUUAACUCUGGGAUAAGCCUGGGAAACUGGGUCUAAUACCGGAUAGGAGCGUCCACCGCAUGGUGGGUGUUGGAAAGAUUUAUCGGUUUUGGAUGGACUCGCGGCCUAUCAGCUUGUUGGUGAGGUAAUGGCUCACCAAGGCGACGACGGGUAGCCGGCCUGAGAGGGUGACCGGCCACACUGGGACUGAGACACGGCCCAGACUCCUACGGGAGGCAGCAGUGGGGAAUAUUGCACAAUGGGCGAAAGCCUGAUGCAGCGACGCCGCGUGAGGGAUGACGGCCUUCGGGUUGUAAACCUCUUUCAGUAGGGAAGAAGCGAAAG
rnacentral:rRNA from 1 species